UGCGGAGGGAUCAUUACUGAGUGAGGGCCUUCGGGCUCGACCUCCAACCCUUUGUGAACACAACUUGUUGCUUCGGGGGCGACCCUGCCGUUUCGACGGCGAGCGCCCCCGGAGACCAUCAAACACUGCAUCUUUGCGUCGGAGUUUAAGUAAAUUAAACAAAACUUUCAACAACGGAUCUCUUGGUUCUGGCAUCGAUGAAGAACGCAGCGAAAUGCGAUAAGUAAUGUGAAUUGCAGAAUUCAGUGAAUCAUCGAAUCUUUGAACGCACAUUGCGCCCUUUGGUAUUCCGAAGGGCAUGCCUGUUCGAGCGUCAUUUCACCACUCAAGCCUGGCUUGGUAUUGGGCGCCGCGGUCAAUCCGCGCGCCUCAAAGUCUCCGGCUGAGCUGUCCGUCUCUAAGCGUUGUGAUUUCAUUAAUCGCUUCGGAGUGCGGGCGGCCGCGGCCGUUAAAUCUUUCACAAGGUUGACCUCGGAUCAGGUAGGGAUACCCGCUGAACUUAAGCAUAUC
rnacentral:rRNA from 1 species